rnacentral:misc_RNA from 1 species
AUAUGCUAUAAAGGUGCAAGAGAAAAAGAAGUGGAGUGUUUGUACGUUUGAUGGGUGGUGACCUUUUGAACUUGAGAAAAUUGACUGUAAAGAGCUUUAAAUCUAGUUGUAGUCUACUUAGCUGUUUAAUGGGCACCAAAUGACAGUUAAGUUUUCUUUAAUUGAGGGUUACCAAAGGAUGGUAAAUUUGACCGGACAGAUCAUGGUAAUGUAAUUUUUUUUUGGUUGUCUAUAUUACCUCAUGUAUUGUGAAUUUGAUUGUUUUGGAAAAUCGAUCUAUAGUAUUUUACAUUUUCGUCAUAUUGUUUUGCUUCGUAAACACGAAAGGAAGCAAUAUGAAAACAGGAUUCAUGCAAUCACUUGGUCGCAUGUUUCUAGGAAAUGCAAUGUGGCGGUGCUGGGUUUUGCUAUCUCCAUCUUCAGCCCACUAGAUGUCGGGUGGGUGAAAAAAGACCAAGUUGGGGCAGG